CCAGCAGCCGCGGUAAUUCCAGCUCCAAUAGCGUAUAUUUAAGUUGCUGCAGUUAAAAAGCUCGUAGUUGGAUUUCGGGUGGGGCCUGCCGGUCCGCCGUUUCGGUGUGCACUGGCCGGGCCCACCUUGUUGCCGGGGACGGGCUCCUGGGCUUUAUUGUCCGGGACUCGGAGUCGGCGAGGUUACUUUGAGUAAAUUAGAGUGUUCAAAGCAGGCCACCGCUCUGAAUACAUUAGCAUGGAAUAACACGAUAGGACUCUGGCCUAUCUUGUUGGUCUGUAGGACCGGAGUAAUGAUUAAGAGGGACAGUCGGGGGCAUUCGUAUUUCAUUGUCAGAGGUGAAAUUCUUGGAUUUAUGAAAGACGAACUACUGCGAAAGCAUUUGCCAAGGAUGUUUUCAUUAAUCA
rnacentral:rRNA from 1 species